AUAGCUUCUUGGCAUUUUUGCUAGGAUAAAAUAUAGUGUCUGUUUUUAUCAGUUUAAUGUCUGAUACAUCAUCAGUCGAAAUACU
rnacentral:snRNA from 1 species